CAGAUGAAUAUAAUAUACAAUAAUUAAACGGAAUAAAUAAGUAAACAAUGUUAUCGCAAUUUUUAUUUUGACAGAUAUUAUAGAACCCCAAAGGAUGAUCUUCGAUUGUUGAAACUUGUUCGUUAAGUCCAUUUCAAAAAAAAAUAAUUAUCUUACCUGAGGAAAUUCUCUUCCGGGAUCAAACAUGAUGGACAAUUUUUUUGAUGUAUCUACAAAUUAUAGGAUAAAUCUCCAUAGAAAAAAAAAAAAAUAUUAAAGAAAUAAUUUACGAGCAGUACACCCGGUGUAGUAUUUAAACGACGAAGAAUUCAGCCCUCCCCAUUCCCCAUUUCAACAUCCCUUUUCGUAUACCGCUUCACUUCUACGCCAGCCACGUUGAAAAGUGUUUUCCGCAUUAUGAAGAUACGAGGUUAUAUUAUUAUUACGGACUUGCGAGCAGCGGAGGUUCAAACGCGCAACACUUUCCGCUUUGCCAGGAGCUAAUUAAGCGCGUCUUGAUGUAAUAACGACCUAAAUGCAGAUGGAGAGACUCUUAUUCCUAAAAUUAAGUGCACUAAGGUCAACCAAUGGAAAUCACCGGAUGGACUAUCCUUUACCUUCAUCUUCGUGCAUACUUUGAACAUUCCAACAAAUAUCUUAACAAAUACAUCUUAAGGACUCUUAAGAGUGCACACUUAACAAAAAUAUCUUAAGCACUAGUUCGUUUAAAUGUAAUGAUUAUAAUGAAUUUCAUUAAUCGUUUCAUUCAAAAUGACAUUUCAUUCUCAAGAGUAAUCGGUAAUACAGGGUCACAGACAGAUACGAUAGAGCGCGCUUGUACGAACAAAGUCAAAUUCCAAAGUUGCAAAUCGCUACGUCCGAGAUGGUCGAAGCGGACGGUCUUAAUUAUAACGUCUCAAGUAACGAGGGUUGGCAUGGGUCGCGACGUUAAUAUAUGGGUAAGAGAACCUAAACACAACCGUGCCAUUGUAUGUAACGCGGUGUUAGAUCUGCCAAGGCAUUAAUAGUCUCACGUGACGUAAUUAACUCGCGACCACCGAAUUUCCGGCGUUAUAACGUGAUGUAUAUUGUGGCGAAGAGGAAGAUCCAAAAUUCGUCGAGCGAUUAUGAAUCAAGUAGGAUUCAUAUGGCCACCUGUCGCUUGAAAUACUGAUAGAUGUUAUAUCUAGGUUGAUCCUAACACUAUACAACUACUUAAGGAAACUACUAAGUCUUAUCGAUUACGCACGAAUUCAUUACAAAAUAAACGAAUACAGAAAUACGGUGAUUCAUAUAAAUAUGUUUUUUUUUUAUUUUUUUUUAUUUCUUUUUUUAUUUUUUAUGUAAUAAAAUUACGAUUUAAUAUAUGAUAUAAAUGUAUCGCAUUGAAAACAGAAAUUCUAUGAACAAAGAUUCUUUCUCGUAAGGCAGUUAUGUAUAUUUAUUUUCUUUGCUGUAAAUAUAUAUAUGUAUGUAUGUACGCAUACACAAGUUGAUAUAGAAACAAUUAUGUUAUUUACAGGCACGAGAUAAGUAUUUCAAAAGAUAUUGAUCAAUAUUUAUACUUCUUUAUUGCUACUUUUUAAUGGCCACGUAAUAUGAUUUCGGCUAGGAAACUACGAUUUUAGCAAUUUUUUCUAUCGCACUAUUACGUCCAUGAUGUAACCUGAGGAAAAAUAAUUGCAAUAGCUACAACGGAUGACGCAAAGAUAUUGCUGAUAUUUUGAGGUAACUACGAGUUUACUAGCGCGAUCAGCUUAUCGAACUUUUAUAGAUCGAUCACAUGCCGAUCGUAGCUACUAAUCCGUUUUGUACUAAUUACGUGCUUUUGUCUCUUGAUACUAGUUAUCAGGGACAUUUAUCUAUAGCUCGAUCAUCCUUUGAUUAAAUCAAUUCUCUUUAAACUUCUCGAUCUUAGUUUAUAAAUAUUAUUAAACUUAAAUGACAUCAACAUGGUCGGGAUUAUUUAUUGUAAGAAAAAUUAUUGCAAAAUGUUUCAUAUAUAUGUAAUAUAUGAAAUUGUCAUUGAUGAAACUUAAAACUUAUGUACAAACUAAU